GCCGGGCUCGCGGGCGGCGCCGCCGCCCGUGAGGCGGGCGCGGCCGGCGGCGGACGUCUCGCCGGUCCGCCU
rnacentral:tRNA from 1 species